AUACGGAGGGUGCAAGCGUUACUCGGAAUCACUGGGCGUAAAGCGCGCGCAGGCGGCUAUUUAAGUUGGAUGUGAAAGCCUACGGCUCAACCGUAGAACUGCAUCCAAAACUAUUUAGCUAGAGUGUGGGAGAGGAAGUUGGAAUUAGUUGUGUAGGGGUAAAAUCCGUAGAGAUAACUAGGAAUACCAAAAGCGAAGGCAAUCUUCUGGAACACUACUGACGCUGAGGCGCGAAAGCGUGGGGAGCAAACGGGAUUAGAAACCCGAGUAGUCC
rnacentral:rRNA from 1 species